rnacentral:rRNA from 1 species
UAGCAUGGGAUAAUGGAAUAGGACCCUGUCCUCCUAUUUUCAGUUGGUUUUGGCAGCGCGAGGACUAGGGUAAUGAUUAAUAGGGAUAGUUGGGGGCAUUAAUAUUUAAUUGUCAGAGGUGAAAUUCUUGGAUUUAUGAAAGAUUAACUUCUGCGAAAGCAUCUGCCAAGGAUGUUUUCAUUAAUCAAGAACGAAAGUUAGGGGAUCGAAGACGAUCAGAUACCGUCGUAGUCUUAACCAUAAACGAUGCCGACCAGCGAUUAGGAGACGUUGAAUACAAAACACCACCAUCGGCGCGGUCGUCCUUGGCGUCGGUCCUUCACGGGGCCGGCGCGAGGGCGGCUUAGCCCGGUGGCACCGGUGAAUGACUCCCCUAGCAGCUUGUGAGA